AUUGAGGAGCAGAGAGAUUACAUGGCUCGCCCAAGGCUUGCGGCUGCAAAUGGACCUCCAGUCAAGAUAGCUGAGCUAGCGUGUUUGCACAGAUACAAGCUCCAGACACGGAGGGGUACAUCAUCAUCCCGUUCCAAGACAAGAAAGGUGGUUUCUGCUUUCCCAGCUGGAUCCUGAUUGCCCCAGAAUCAAGUCUUGCUUUCGUGUCUGGAGACUCUCUCUCAUGACCCAAGGUUUCAUCUCCUGUCCACAUCUGGGUGCAAAGCUUAAGCCGAGACCAGCUUAAGAGACCACUAACCCACCACAGUGAACAGACAGCACCCGCCUCCAUCCCCUCCAGGAUGUGUCGGUGUCCGCUCUUCCUUGGUCCCUGGGGAUCUCCCUUACUAUCUUGGGAGCUCAGCCAUGAAUUUAAAUUGCCGUCUGGCUUGCCUGCGUAGUCUAGCAUUUCUCGGUGUUUGCAGUGA